AACACAUGUCUUUUUGAUAAAAAUUCAAAGUCAGGUCUGCUCACUGAAUUAUUUUAAAGAGCCGCAGUAUAUUGACUGUGCAAAGGUAGCAUAAUCAAUAGUUUUUUAAUUGGAAACUAGAAUGAAAGAUUAGACGAAAAAUUAAUUUUCUUUGUUUUAAUAAAUUUAAUUUUAAAUUUAAGUGAAAAUGCUUAAAUAAAAUUAAAAGACGAGAAGACCCUAUAGAUUUUUAUUGUUGAAAUAAAUUUUUAAAUUUAAUUUAAUAAAAUAAUUUAAUUGGGGCGAUUUUAUAAUAUAAAUAACUUAAUUUUUUUAAACCAUAAAUAAUUGAAUAUUUGAUCUAAAAUUUUUAAAGAAAAGAUUAAAUUACCUUAGGGAUAACAGCGUAAUUUUAUUUAAGAGUUCAUAUCUAUAAUAAAGUUUGCGACCUCGAUGUUGAAUUAAGAUAAUAUAUUGGAGUAGAAAUUAAUAUAAUUAGUCUGUUCGACUAUUAAAUUCUUACGUGAUCUG
rnacentral:rRNA from 1 species